UAGGGAAUCUUCCACAAUGGACGCAAGUCUGAUGGAGCAACGCCGCGUGAGUGAAGAAGGCUUUCGGGUCGUAAAACUCUGUUAUUGAAGAAGAACGUGCGUGACAGUAACUGGUCAUGCAGUGACGGUAUUCAAUCAGAAAGUCACGGCUAACUACGUGCCAGCAGCCGCGGUAAUACGUAGGUGGCAAGCGUUGUCCGGAUUUAUUGGGCGUAAAGCGAGUGCAGGCGGUCUUUUAAGUCUGAUGUGAAAGCCUUCGGCUUAACCGAAGA
rnacentral:rRNA from 1 species